rnacentral:lncRNA from 1 species
GGUAGUAAUAGAAUGCCAUCUCCAGUCUAUAGUCUAUCUCAGAUACUUUUUUCUGAGACACGUUCAGACCAAUAUGACCUGUGAAAUAGAAUUCUUCUUACUUUUCCUUAGUGUUUUAUCUAAUCCUGCUUUGCUUUAAAACAUCUGCCUACUCAGAGCCUGAAAAUAUCCUGUGGUUUAUCUAAUUCACUUUUUUAUUUACACUUGGGAAGAUGCUAUGUCUGGAGAUUUCACAGUGAGUUCUUAUUCAUACGAUCAUAGAUACCCAGAAUUUCAAUGAUGCUGUCCCAAACAUAUUCCCUUCACUGUGCAUAUUUUAAUGAAAUCAUACAGCUGUGCACAAUCAGUUCAAUCUUUCAUCCUUUAUUUUUUCCAGCAAAUUAACUGAAACAUUUUCCUUCAAUUCCAUAGAGUCGCUUUAAAAAAUUACUUAUACUUUUGAUGUAUGUAAAGUUUUUGGAAGAAGUAACUGUGAUCUCCUUUGUCCCCCUAAUUACUUAUGUGAAUUAUUAUAGGUAUUCCACAAGUCACACACAUCUUACCUAACUAAAUGUGGCUAUAGUCAAAUCCAGUGACUUUUCC